rnacentral:rRNA from 1 species
GACGAACGCUGGCGGCGUGCCUAAUACAUGCAAGUUGAGCGCUGAAGGUUGGUACUUGUGCCAACUGGUUGAGCAGCGAACGGGUGAGUAACGCGUGGGGAAUCUGCCUUUGAGCGGGGGACAACAUUUGGAAACGAAUGCUAAUACCGCAUAAAAACUUUAAACACAAGUUUUAAGUUUGAAAGAUGCAAUUGCAUCACUCAAAGAUGAUCCCGCGUUGUAUUAGCUAGUUGGUGGGGUAAAGGCUCACCAAGGCGAUGAUACAUAGCCGACCUGAGAGGGUGAGCGGCCACAUUGGGACUGAGACACGGCCCAAACUCCUACGGGAGGCAGCAGUAGGGAAGCUUCGGCAAUGGACGAAAGUCUGACCGAGCAACGCCGCGUGAGUGAAGAAGGUUUUCGGAUCGUAAAACUCUGUUGGUAGAGAAGAACGGUGGUGAGAGUGGAAAGCUCAUCAAGUGACGUUAACUACCCAGAAAGGGACGGCUAACUACGUG